GGUAGAAUAGCCUAAUGCAGGCGGUGGGUUGUAGCCCCAAAGAUGAAGGUUUAAGUCCUUUUUCUAUCA
rnacentral:tRNA from 1 species